rnacentral:rRNA from 1 species
UACGGGAGGCAGCAGUGGGGAAUAUUGCACAAUGGGCGCAAGCCUGAUGCAGCCAUGCCGCGUGUAUGAAAAAGGCCUUCGGGUUGUAAAGUACUUUCAGUCGUGAGGAAGGUGUUAAGGUUAAUAACCUUAGCAAUUGACGUUAGCGACAGAAGAAGCACCGGCUAACUCCGUGCCAGCAGCCGCGGUAAUACGGAGGGUGCGAGCGUUAAUCGGAAUUACUGGGCGUAAAGGGCACGCAGGCGGUUAAUUAAGUUGGAUGUGAAAUCCCCGGGCUUAACCUGGGAAUGGCAUUCAAGACUGGUUAGCUAGAGUCUUGUAGAGGGGGUAGAAUUCCAUGUGUAGCGGUGAAAUGCGUAGAGAUGUGGAGGAAUACCGGUGGCGAGGGCGGCCCCUGGACAAAGACUGACGCUCAUGUGCGAAAGCGUGGGGAGCAAACAGGGAUUAGAUACC